ensembl:lncRNA
CUGCCUUUUCCAGCAUGAGAUUAUUCACUCGACGAUGUCACGACUCCCAAGUCUGAUGUCAUGGUUGUUUCCACAGCAACCAAAUUGAAUCAAGGAAUUAAAAACCAGGAGGAACUCACACAGAAUGGCAACACAACACAGGAGUGCCAUGAAGCAAGCCAUACCCUGCACAUGAUCCAAGAUCUCAACACGCCCAGCUGGUACAGUGCUAGCAUAGCUCAGCGAGGAAUAGCACAGCAUUGGAAACUCAGCACCUUGGCAUUGCACUGCUUUCUGAAUCCUGAUUAAAGGACACAAAAACGUGGUGGCACUGCAGGACUACUCCCGCUGGGGAUUAGGGUAGGGUUGCAGGGAGUGUCUCCUCCCACUGCAGCCCCUGUUUCCAUGCAGCCUCAGGGCACCUGGUGCAACCUCUGCCCACCUACAGGUGCCCAGCAGAGCUGCAGCUCCCCUUGGCCUGUGCAAUAUUCAGUGCUCAGAGACUGUGCUGCUCCUUGCUGGAGGAAGCCUGUAUUGCUAAUGGGAGAGGACAGAAGGAUGCAAGAUGAGCUGCUGUGCCAAGACUGCAUCAUUCUUUUCAGCCUCAGAGGUUUCCCCUAGACCCUCCUGCACUCAUCUUCCUCACCUGCAGGAGAUGCAUGCCUUGCCUUUCACUUGCCACAUGCAUCCUGCUCACUGUGCUUCAGUUUCUGAUGAUGCUGAAUACUCUCUUGCCCAACCCAAAGCCCCAAACCACCCCACUGUCCCACCCCUGUGUGAUACACCCUUUUCAGCACCCCACUGCAAAUGCUGGAGCAAAAAGUCCUGCUCCCCUAGCCAGACUGGGGCGAUCCAUGGCACACAGAGCAGGCAGCCCUCCUCAUAUGAAGGCUGCUUGAAGGAGAGUAUUUUUGCUGUGUCAGCAUCUCUGCUUCUCUAUCCCCUGUGUUUGCUGAUUGCAUCCUUGAAGCGUCACUGUCACGUUAGGUUUUCAGCAUGGAGCUGAGCCCUGAGCUCGGAGGGACAUGGAAAUCUGGGGAGGUCUUCUUCAGCAGAGUGCGAGAGGGGACAAAAAAAAAAGAGAAAGAGAAGGAACAACAUCUGCCUCCUCCUCCUGCCUUCUCCUUCCAUUCAACAGCAAGGCUCUUGCUCGAUUGGUAUGUGAUUGCUGAUGCUGUGAGAAGUGCUUGGGAGCCACCAGGUCAGGAUAAAGAGUCAGCACUGCCUACUCUGGGGCAAGGUGGAGGAACUUGGCAGAACCCCAGGACCUGGCAGCACACUCCUGGCAGUGCAGGAACCGAUGCUCGCACCAAGGAUGUGCCAUUCUCCAAAUCACUGCUGCUCACAGAGCUGCUGAAGAUAAACUUGACCUGUGUUACUGUGUCCAUCCUUUGGGUAUGCUGGAGAAAUCACUCCAGCUCUGUUCAACACCUGGGGCUGCACGUGGACUUCUAAUUAGAGACACGCUUUGAGCGCUGGAGAGGUGAUGGCAAACCUGCUGGCAGAAACAGAAGUUCCCACCAGUGAUAGUUAGCUAACAGUCCAGGGAGCUGGGAGCAAUAACGCAUCGUGCCCUCGCAAGGAGCAAAGCUGUGUAUCCUUGUCAGGACUGCAGCCCCAGAUGCGGAGCUGGUGUCAGUCCUUAAAGCUCCUUGACAGUCUGUGGACUGGACUCACAGGUAACAUAAAUCAGAAAGGUUUUGAUGGAGCUGUACAAUGAGAAAUGUGAGCCUUGCUGGCUGUCUUUAUAUUCAAGUUUUUGAUUAUUUUUUUCAUUUCUCCCCUUAGAAUCUCAUUCUGUGCCCCCACGUCUUCUCCAGUUUUUUCCUCCGUCCUCUACUUUCCUAUAUAUUUCCCUUCUCAUUACAUCUGAUAGCAUCUGCAACCAAAACAUGUAUAUGGUCAUGCUGAGAUGAGGUUAUGUCCUGAAAAUAUAACCCACCAAUGAUGAUGGUCAAAGCCAUUAGAAAGAUUCCAUCAUGAUCACAGUCCUUCUCAACCCCCCCAUGGGAGCGCACCAAAGUUCCUGUAAAAACAUCACAUUCAGGAGCAAAUUCUGCCUGGAAAUGGGUUUGUGAAUCCUCUGCAAGGCUCUGCAAUGUGAGCAGCAGUGGCAGGAGCUGGGGAGAUACACUCAGAACUUGAGCAGCCUCUUGGUGAGGGUUUCCAUGCCUGAGCUUGAAACCUCCAUCUCCCCUCUGCCUUUCCAGGGGUGGGAAGCAGCCAAUGUAUUUGUUUUUAAUUAUUUCCCCUGUUGCAUUUGCUCUGUUUUCUUGCUUACGUUAACACAGCUCUUCUUGCUGCCUGCACUCGGCUGCCUAUUUGUCAUUUCUGCUGUUUGACGUGUCGUGGUAAUCUAUGUGCACCCAGCCUGCUGUGCAUCGAUAUUUACUAAUGGAGCUUCUUGUAUUCAGAGGCUGUUUGCAAUAAAAAGAUAAUGAAGAAAACUCCUUGACCCUGU